rnacentral:rRNA from 1 species
UACGGGCCGGGAAUGGAAAGACCGGUACAAGCGGGGUAGGUGUAAAUAGGCAAAUCCGUUGUAUAAUCCGAAGACGUGAUGUGGAGCGAAAUAAAGUAGCAAAGCGUGUGAGCCAUGUGCCGAGAAAAGCUGCUAUUGUGUAAUGCGUGCCCGUACCGUAAACCGACACAGGUGGAUGAGGAGAGAAUCCUAAGGCCGACGGAAGAAGCAUUGUUAAGGAAUUCGGCAAAAUGACCCCGUAACUUCGGGAGAAGGGGUGCCUGCGAGAGCAGGCCGCAGAGAAUAGGCUCAAGCAACUGUUUAGCAAAAACACAGGUCUAUGCGAAACCGAAAGGUGAAGUAUAUGGGCUGACGCCUGCCCGGUGCUGGAAGGUUAAGAGGAGAGGUUAGCGUAAGCGAAGCUUUGAAUUUAAGCCCCAGUAAACGGCGGCCGUAACAAUAACGGUCCUAAGGUAGCGAAAUUCCUUGUCGGGUAAGUUCCGACCCGCACGAAAGGCGUAAUGAUUUGAGCACUGUCUCGACAAUGCAUCCGGUGAAAUUGAAGUACCAGUGAAGAUGCUGGUUACCCGCGCCAGGACGGAGAGACCCCAUGGAGCUUUACUCCAGUUUGAUACUGGGAUUCGGUACUGCAUGUACAGGAUAGGUGGGAGACGAAGAAGGAUGGACGCCAGUCUGUCCGGAGUCGCUGUUGGGAUACCACCCCUGUAGUACUGGGUUUCUAACCAGUUGCCAUGAACUGGCAAUGGGACAAUGUCAGGCGGGGAGUUUGACUGGGGCGGUCGCCUCCGAAAGGGUAUCGGAGGCGCCCAAAGGUUCCCUCAGAAUGGUUGGAAACCAUUUGAAGAGCGCAAAGGCAGAAGGGAGCUUGACUGCGACACCGACGGGUGGAGCAGGUACGAAAGUAGGAUUUAGUGAUCCGGUGGUAUAAAGUGGGAUUGCCAUCGCUCAACGGAUAAAAGCUACCCUGGGAUAACAGGCUUAUCACUACCAAGAGUUCACAUCGACGGAGUGGUUUGGCACCUCGAUGUCGGCUCAUCGCAUCCUGGGGCUGUAGCAGGUCCCAAGGGUUGGGCUGUUCGCCCAUUAAAGCGGUACGCGAGCUGGGUUCAGAACGUCGUGAGACAGUUCGGUCCCUAUCCGGCGCGGGCGGAGGAUAUUUGAGAGGAGCUGUCCUUAGUACGAGAGGACCGGGAUGGACGGACCACUGGUGUAUCUGUUGUCGACCAACGGCAUGGCAGAGUAGCCAAGUCUGGAAGGGAUAAACGCUGAAGGCAUCUAAGCGUGAAGCCCCCCUCAAGAUGAGAUAUCCCUCCUUCGGGAGUAAGACCCCUUGAAGACUACAAGGUAGAUAGGGCAGAGGUGGAAGCAUGGCAACAUGUGGAGCUGACUGUUACUAAUAGGUCGAGGGCUUAAU